GAAGAAAGGAGAUAAUCGAGAGUGCCAUCCUUCAUGUUAUUCAAUGCUUCAUCACUUGGAACAAAAACGGGAAGCGCUCUGACAAAUAAGGAACAAGGAAAGAAGUUCUUCGGAACCUUUCAUGACCCCCGGACACCAAGAGAGAGCUGGCUAUGGCCAUCGACUCAGUGAGCAGCUUCAUUCUGGGAGUGACAAUCAGAGAGACCCUCACCUUAUCACCACUGAAGAUUUCCCCUGACUUUCCGGUCAAAGUAUAGAAUGUGUCUGUGUUAUUCAUUUGCUCCGUGCUCAUCUGCCCAGCAAUCAUGUGGAGUUUCACAAAGUACUGAGCAGCUUCGUUAUUCAGCAAAAGCUCUGUUACCUGAGAAAAGAAAGCCGAUUCCUUUAGUCUCUACUGUGGUUUGAAGGGAAAAAUGAGAUACAGACGACUUUCCCAGAGAUAAGCUGCCCUAAGCCAGGCCUUCAAGGGAGCAGAAAUCUGGAGGUGAG